AUGAAGGGAGGUGCAGUCCAGAGGCAGCAGAUUCACAGCCUGUGUGUUUUGGACUCCCCGUGUGCAGUGCUCAAGGAAUAUAGCUCUGUAUUUCCUUUUGGGAUUUCUCAAACAUUCUUCUUAUCUGUCACGUAUGGGAGCAACCAAAUUCAGUUCAAAAUCCUGAACAGAAGCAGGAAUGACAACAUUACUGGAAAAACUGUUUUUAGCUGAUUGGGAACUGUUUGGUGCUGUUUGCUCCCUGCCUGUCAAAACACAAAUCACUACAAGUCAAGCAGAGUCUUCAUUUGCAUUCAUGCUUUGCUGUGGCUCUCAGCUACUUUCCUGGGUGGAAAAGGAAGCAGGAUAUACUCCAGAGGCUACAGAUCUGCAAGAAUACUAGAAUAUCUUGUCUGACUUUUGUUUAGUAAUAGGUGCCUCAGGCACCCGAGGUUUGGGAAGAGAUGAAAGCCUCCAGGAAUAUAUUCAGAGUGCUGAUGGCCUGGGCUGUCACUGGGUGUUAGGCAUAUGAGCUUUGGACCUAUGAGACCUGCACCCACUUCCUCAAGGGAGACCAGACCAAGUCUGAAUGUUUUUAGGGGAAGUUAAGGUCAAGCAGGAUUAUCUAAAAUGUUCAAGCAAACAAGGCAGAUGAGUCCCACUGAAUUAGAAUAAAACUGUAGAUGUUAACGUAGGAACUUCA
rnacentral:lncRNA from 1 species